AACAAAAAGUUUUAUUUUUCAGAGCAUUUCAACCAAUUUCCUGUUUCUGUUCCCGGAUUGUCACAUAUUUUUUAAAUAUUAAAUAUGUGCAUCCGGGAGUAGAUCUAGGGGGUUGGUACAAUCAACGGCUUCGUAUUUGAUUUUAU
rnacentral:pre_miRNA from 1 species